AAUGAACGCUGGCGGCGUGCCUAAUACAUGCAAGUCGUGCGGCAGCGAGCCCUUCGGGGUGUCGGCGAGCGGCGGACGGCUGAGUAACGCGUAGGAAUCUACCCCAAAGUGAGGAAUAACCUCGAGAAAUCGAGGCUAAUGCCGCAUAUGGUCUUCGGAUUAAAGGAUUUAUCCGCUUUGGGAAGAGCCUGCGUAAGAUUAGCUAGUUGGUGAGGUAAUGGCUCACCAAGGCGACGAUCUUUAGCUGGUCUGAGAGGAUGACCAGCCAGACUGGAACUGAGACACGGUCCAGACUCCUACGGGAGGCAGCAGCAAGGAAUCUUCCACAAUGGGCGAAAGCCUGAUGGAGCAACGCCGCGUGCAGGACGAAGGCCUUCGGGUCGUAAACUGCUUUUAUAAGUGAGGAAUAUGACGGUAACUUAUGAAUAAGGAUCGGCUAACUCCGUGCCAGCCGCCGCGGUAA
rnacentral:rRNA from 1 species